AUUGAACGCUGGCGGCAUGCUUUACACAUGCAAGUCGAACGGUAACAGGUCUUCGGAUGCUGACGAGUGGCGAACGGGUGAGUAAUACAUCGGAACGUGCCUAGUAGUGGGGGAUAACUACUCGAAAGAGUAGCUAAUACCGCAUGAGAUCUACGGAUGAAAGCAGGGGACCUUCGGGCCUUGUGCUACUAGAGCGGCUGAUGGCAGAUUAGGUAGUUGGUGGGGUAAAGGCUUACCAAGCCUGCGAUCUGUAGCUGGUCUGAGAGGACGACCAGCCACACUGGGACUGAGACACGGCCCAGACUCCUACGGGAGGCAGCAGUGGGGAAUUUUGGACAAUGGGCGAAAGCCUGAUCCAGCAAUGCCGCGUGCAGGAUGAAGGCCCUCGGGUUGUAAACUGCUUUUGUACGGAACGAAAAGCCUGGGGCUAAUAUCCCCGGGUCAUGGCGGUACCGUAAGAAUAAGCACCGGCUAACUACGUGCCAGCAGCCGCGGUAAUACGUAGGGUGCAAGCGUUAAUCGGAAUUACUGGGCGUAAAGCGUGCGCAGGCGGUUUUGUAAGACAGUGGUGAAAUCCCCGGGCUCAACCUGGGAACUGCCAUUGUGACUGCAAGGCUAGAGUGCGGCAGAGGGGGAUGGAAUUCCGCGUGUAGCAGUGAAAUGCGUAGAUAUGCGGAGGAACACCGAUGGCGAAGGCAAUCCCCUGGGCCUGCACUGACGCUCAUGCACGAAAGCGUGGGGAGCAAACAGGAUUAGAUACCCUGUAGUCCACGCCCUAAACGAUGUCAACUGGUUGUUGGGUCUUAACUGACUCAGUAACGAAGCUAACGCGUGAAGUUGACCGCCUGGGGAGUACGGCCGCAGGUUGAAACUCAAAGGAUUGACGGGGACC
rnacentral:rRNA from 1 species